AUUAAACGCUGGCGGCAUGCCUUACACAUGCAAGUCGAACGGCAGCACGGGGGCAACCCUGGUGGCGAGUGGCGGACGGGUGAGUAAAGCAUCGGAACGUAUCCUGGAGUGGGGGGAUAACGUAGCGAAAGUUACGCUAAUACCGCAUAUUCUGUGAGCAGGAAAGCAGGGGGAUCGCAAGACCUUGCGCUCUGGGAGCGGCCGAUGUCGGAUUAGCUAGUUGGUGGGGUAAAGCCUACCAAGGCGACGAUCCGUAGCGGGUCUGAGAGGAUGAUCCGCCACACUGGGACUGAGACACGGCCCAGACUCCUACGGGAGGCAGCAGUGGGGAAUUUUGGACAAUGGGCGAAGCCUGAUCCAGCCAUGCCGCGUGAGUGAAGAAGGCCUUCGGGUUG
rnacentral:rRNA from 1 species